rnacentral:rRNA from 1 species
AUUGAACGUUGGCGGCACGCCUUAUACAUGCAAGUCGAACGAGAAAGUACCUUCGGGUGCGAGUACAGUGGCGGACGGGUGAGUAACGCGUAGGAAUAUACCUAGUAGUGGGGGACAACUCGGGGAAACUCGAGCUAAUACCGCAUACGCUCUACGGAGGAAAGUGGGGGAUCUUCGGACCUCACGCUAUUAGAGUAGCCUGCGUUGGAUUAGCUAGUUGGUGAGGUAAAGGCUCACCAAGGCGACGAUCCAUAGCUGGUCUGAGAGGACGAUCAGCCACACUGGAACUGAGACACGGUCCAGACUCCUACGGGAGGCAGCAGUAGGAAUAUUGGGCAAUGGGCGCAAGCCUGACCCAGCGAUGCCGCGUGUGUGAAGAAGGCCUUAGGGUUGUAAAGCACUUUCAGCAGCGAAGAAAUGUCGUAAGUUAAUAGCUUUCGGCUUUGACGUUUAACUGCAGAAGAAGUACCGGCUAACUCCGUGCCAGCAGCCGCGGUAA